CUGCUCUGACAGUUGGUGCUUAAAGCUAGUGAGGGAGAUAAGUGUUUCCAGUUUCAGAGAUUUUUGUUGUUCGUUCCAGUCAUUGGCAGCAGAGAACUUUGUUACAUCAACACCAGUUCUGUUUCACAUUCUAACUGACAUUUUCCUCACAUUAUCAGUGUCUUGGUACACACAUUCAUUACUGUGACAUGGUACACACGUUCAUUACUGUGACAAAGUAACCUAUUUGUCUGUUGGUGUUUGUGCCUCAACCUCUUGUCAUUUCCUGCAAUAAAGUGGACUGUGGGCGGGAGGAGAUUUUCCCCUGUUUACCUAGCGUUGAGAGUUUAGCCUUAACUCUCCCAGCCUGAUGCUGUUGGUUAACCAGCGUUGAGAGUUUAGCCUUAACUCUCCCAGCCUGAUGCUGUUGGUUAACUAGCGUUAGGAGGGUUGUAAAGCAGACCGAUGGAAGCGUAGGACCUUGUGGCGGUUAUCAAACACUGGUUACAGCAGGAUGUUUAGAGCAGAGAGAAGUGUGUGUACACCAAACUGGAUAGGUGUGUGUGUUCCUCUUUCUCCACCUGCAGAUCAGGUUAGAUCUGUUUUGUGAAAUUCGGAUGCAAAUUCUCUGCUUCUAUUUGCCUAUGAUUUGUCCAUAUUUCUCUGCAAUGAAAAUCCUUCUGCAAGUGUGUGUCAGUCAGGUUCUGCAAUCAUGUCAGAGCUAACAGGCUACAGAGUGUCUGAUAAUAACAGCUAACCACUUCCUUCCUUCCCCACUUAAAAAGAGAGGUAGAAACUGUUCAUAGCUGCAGUAGUCUAGUGCACCAGUAGUGUAGUGCACCUGGCCUGACUGCAUCAACUUGUCCGUUGCAUCCCAAAUGGCACCCUGUUCCCUACAUUGGGCCCUGUAGGCCCGGGUCCAAGAUAGGGUGCCAUUUGGGAUGCUGUUCUCACUCGCCUCUAGGGCCCUCACUAGGACAGUCCAGCUGUCUCACUAUUGAACUGGACGUUUUUAGUGUUCAUUAGGGCACACCGUAGCAAAAUGUUUCGCAAUAGAAAAUGAACCUUUGUGUUGUUAUUGGAGACGUUCAGGUAGAAUCUCUCCAUUUUAAUUUGUUGUUGUUGUUGAACCACACCGAUGCAUCAGCAAGCUCUGCUGUGUUUAAACCAGACGCUAACUGUGUUGUGGUCUGUAACAUGUUGAUGAUGCUUUGUGUCUGGACAUACAGACAGAGAAUAUCUGUUAAAAUGACUAUUUAAUUACACAAAGUGUUAAUGAAAGACGUGUAUAAACAGGGGUGCAACUUUUACUGGGAACAGGGGGGGACAUGUCCCCCCCACAUUCUGAAAUUGUAUUUUUGUCCCCCCCGGUUUUAUCAUUGGAACGUGAUACUAAACGAGGCAACGGUGUGCUUUAGGACCAUGCGGAUGCCUCCGAGGUUGGGUAGGCUGUUUGGAGUGUUUAUCUGACUGGAUACAUUUUGUUUUUGAUAUUUCCUCCCCAACUUCUAAAACCAAAGAUUCGCCCCUGUGUAUAAAUAUGUGUGUCUGGCUUCAGAAAGAAAAGCAUUAUUGAAGAAGACUACUUCUUCACAGGUAUCUUAUCUGUACAGGGAUGCAUUAAGGUGGCUGACUGUUCCUUUUUUACCCUGUGUGAGAUUGGUCAUUUUUCUAGUGUGGGCAGCAGUGAGUGAAUAUGCCAGUGAACAGACCUUAUUCCAGGUAUCUUAAUAGUCUAUAUAUCUAUAUAGUUCUAUAUUAAUUCUCAGUCAUAACUCAGUCUACGUCCCAAAUCGCAACAUAUUUCCUAUACAGUGACCUACUUUUUACCAUAAUCCAUAGGGAAUAACCCGGGUCCAUUCAUCCCAAAUGGCACCCUAUUCCCUAUAUAGUGACCUACUUUUUACCAUAAUCCAUAGGGAAUAACCCGGGUCCAUUCAUCCCAAAUGGCACCCUAUUCCCUAUAUAGUGCACUAGGGACCAGAAGUAGUGUACUGUAAAGGGAAUAGGGUGCCAUUUUGGACGAAUCCUAAGACUGACCAAUGAGCAUCAGUAAUGUCAUCACAAAUAACUUUGGUUAUGGAGCUCAGAGUUAUGAGAGCCUGCCAGACUUCUGGCCCUUCCUCCUUGAUUGGUUAAUCAAUGUAGAUGUCCAGGUAAAUAUUCUGGCUCUUCCUCCUUGAUUGGUUAAUCAAUGUAGAUGUCCAGGUAAAUAUUCUGGCUCUUCCUCCUUGUUGAUUUAAUCAUUGUACUUUUUUCUAUCGGUUAUUAAAGGCUCCCUCUCUCUCUGAUUUCAGUCCAACCAGAAAUAAAUACUGUAAUUGUUUCAACAUUUUAUCUCCUAGAAAAGAAAAUGGUAAAAACAUAGAAUGUAUUUGUUACAGUAUAGUCAUAGUAGUCUGGUUGACGAGACUAUAGUCACAGUUCUCUCUCUCCUUUAGCACUAACAGUCACGUAUUCACAGUUCUCUCUCUCCUUUAGCACUAACAGUCACGUAUUCACAGUUCUCUCUCCUUUAGUACUAACAGUCACGUAUUCACAGUUCUCUCUCCCCUUUAGCACUAACAGUCACGUAUUCACAGUUACCCACGUUUAAAACCAUGAGGCUGCAAUGAAAGCAAAAUGGAGGAUUCUGUUGCUGUUUCCUACGUAUAUUCCUAUAUUUGUGUUGCAGCUGUAUAUUAUCUCUUGCUAUUCUUUGUCUUUGUAUGAAUAAUGUAUGUUUACACGCUCUCCUUACUCUCCCAAAUAACUGCUCUGUUUUGUAAUAAAAUACAAGCUGACCAUCCUUA